GUUUCCAUAGUGUAGUGGUUAUCACGUUCGUCUAACACACGAAAGGUCCCCUGUUCGAAACUGGGUGGAAACA